rnacentral:rRNA from 1 species
AACGAACGCUGGCGGCAGGCCUAACACAUGCAAGUCGAGCGCCCCGCAAGGGGAGCGGCGGACGGGUGAGUAACGCGUGGGAACGUACCCUUUUCUGCGGAAUAGCCCAGGGAAACUUGGAUUAAUACCGCAUACGCCCCUCGGGGGAAAGAUUUAUCGGAGAAGGAUCGGCCCGCGUUGGAUUGGGUAGUUGGUGGGGUAAUGGCCUACCAAGCCGACGAUCCAUAGCUGGUUUGAGAGGAUGAUCAGCCACACUGGGACUGAGACACGGCCCAGACUCCUACGGGAGGCAGCAGUGGGGAAUCUUCGGCAAUGGGCGCAAGCCUGACCGAGCCAUGCCGCGUGAGCGAUGAAGGCCUUAGGGUUGUAAAGCUCUUUCGCCAGGGAUGAUAAUGACAGUACCUGGUAAAGAAACCCCGGCUAACUCCGUGCCAGCCGCCGCGGUAAGAC